UACGUAGGGUGCAGGCGUUAAUCGGAAUUACUGGGCGUAAAGCGUGCGCAGGCGGUUUGCUAAGACAGGUGUGAAAUCCCCGAGCUUAACUUGGGAAUUGCGCUUGUAACUGGCGAGCUAGAGUGUGGCAGAGGGGGGUGGAAUUCCACGUGUAGCGGUGAAAUGCGUAGAUAUGUGGAGGAACCCCGAUGGCGAAGGCAGCCCCCUGGGUUAACACUGCCGCUCAUGCGCGAAAGCGUGGGGAGCAUACAGG
rnacentral:rRNA from 1 species